GGACUGCCUUUUGCAUAAUGAGCCUGCGAGUUGUGGUGUCUGGCAAGGUUAAGCAAACGCGAAGCCGUAGCGAAAGCGAGUCUGAAUAGGGCGCUUAGUCAGAUGCUGCAGACCCGAAACGAAGUGAUCUAUCCAUGAGCAAGUUGAAGCUAGUGUAAGAACUAGUGGAGGACUGAACCCAUAGGCGUUGAAAAGCCCCGGGAUGACUUGUGGAUAGGGGUGAAAGGCCAAUCAAACUUCGUGAUAGCUGGUUCUCUCCGAAAUAUAUUUAGGUAUAGCGUUGUGUCGUAAUAUAAGGGGGUAGAGCACUGAAUGGGCUAGGGCAUACACCAAUGUACCAAACCCUAUCAAACUCCGAAUACCUUAUAUGUAAUCACAGCAGUCAGGCGGCGAGUGAUAAAAUCCGUCGUCAAGAGGGAAACAACCCAGACUACCAGCUAAGGUCCCUAAAUCUUACUUAAGUGGAAAACGAUGUGAAGUUACUUAAACAACCAGGAGGUUGGCUUAGAAGCAGCCAUCCUUUAAAGAAAGCGUAAUAGCUCACUGGUCUAGUGAUUUUGCGCGGAAAAUAUAACGGGGCUAAAGUAAGUACCGAAGCUGUAGACUUAGUUUACUAAGUGGUAGGAGAGCGUUCUAUUUGCGUCGAAGGUAUACCGGUAAGGAGUGCUGGAGCGAAUAGAAGUGAGCAUGCAGGCAUGAGUAGCGAUAAUUAAUGUGAGAAUCAUUAACGCCGUAAACCCAAGGUUUCCUACGCGAUGCUCGUCAUCGUAGGGUUAGUCGGGUCCUAAGUCGAGUCCGAAAGGGGUAGACGAUGGCAAAUUGGUUAAUAUUCCAAUACCAACAUUAGUGUGCGAUGGAAGGACGCUUAGGGCUAAGGGGGCUAGCGGAUGGAAGUGCUAGUCUAAGGUCGUAGGAGGUUAUACAGGCAAAUCCGUAUAACAAUACUCCGAGAACUGAAAGGCUUUUUGAAGUCUUCGGAUGGAUAGAAGAACCCCUGAUGCCGUCGAGCCAAGAAAAGUUUCUAAGUUUAGCUAAUGUUGCCCGUACCGUAAACCGACACAGGUGGGUGGGAUGAGUAUUCUAAGGCGCGUGGAAGAACUCUCUUUAAGGAACUCUGCAAAAUAGCACCGUAUCUUCGGUAUAAGGUGUGGUUAGCUUUGUAUUAGGAUUUACUCCGAAAGCAAGGAAACUUACAACAAAGAGUCCCUCCCGACUGUUUACCAAAAACACAGCACUCUGCUAACUCGUAAGAGGAUGUAUAGGGUGUGACGCCUGCCCGGUGCUCGAAGGUUAAUUGAUGGGGUUAGCAUUAGCGAAGCUCUUGAUCGAAGCCCGAGUAAACGGCGGCCGUAACUAUAACGGUCCUAAGGUAGCGAAAUUCCUUGUCGGUUAAAUACCGACCUGCAUGAAUGGCGUAACGAGAUGGGAGCUGUCUCAAAGAGGGAUCCAGUGAAAUUGUAGUGGAGGUGAAAAUUCCUCCUACCCGCGGCAAGACGGAAAGACCCCGUGGACCUUUACUACAGCUUGACACUGCUACUUGGAUAAGAAUGUGCAGGAUAGGUGGGAGGCUUUGAGUAUAUGACGCCAGUUGUAUAUGAGCCAUUGUUGAGAUACCACUCUUUCUUAUUUGGGUAGCUAACCAGCUUGAGUUAUCCUCAAGUGGGACAAUGUCUGGUGGGUAGUUUGACUGGGGCGGUCGCCUCCCAAAUAAUAACGGAGGCUUACAAAGGUUGGCUCAGAACGGUUGGAAAUCGUUCGUAGAGUAUAAAGGUAUAAGCCAGCUUAACUGCAAGACAUACAAGUCAAGCAGAGACGAAAGUCGGUCUUAGUGAUCCGGUGGUUCUGUGUGGAAGGGCCAUCGCUCAAAGGAUAAAAGGUACCCCGGGGAUAACAGGCUGAUCUCCCCCAAGAGCUCACAUCGACGGGGAGGUUUGGCACCUCGAUGUCGGCUCAUCGCAUCCUGGGGCUGGAGCAGGUCCCAAGGGUAUGGCUGUUCGCCAUUUAAAGCGGUACGCGAGCUGGGUUCAGAACGUCGUGAGACAGUUCGGUCCCUAUCUGCCGUGGGCGUAAGAAGAUUGAAGAGAUUUGACCCUAGUACGAGAGGACCGGGUUGAACAAACCACUGGUGUAGCUGUUGUUCUGCCAAGAGCAUCGCAGCGUAGCUAAGUUUGGAAAGGAUAAACGCUGAAAGCAUCUAAGCGUGAAGCCAACUCUAAGAUGAAUCUUCUCUAAGCUCUCUAGAAGACUACUAGUUUGAUAGGCUGGGUGUGUAAUGGAUGAAAGUCCUUUAGCUGACCAGUACUAAUAGAGCGUUUGGCUUAUCUUU
rnacentral:rRNA from 1 species